UUUUAAAAAUAUUUUUAUUAAUAUUAUAAAUGAUUUUCUUAAAAAGAGAGGAAUAAGAUUUAAUAUUUUAUUCCAGUUUAAUGAGUUUUCAAGGUUUUAUAUUUAAACCUCGGGUUAUUGUGUUAUUGAUAAAUAAUUGUAUUUUCAAAACUGAUUUUCAUAUAUUGUUUUGAAAAUUCUAGAUGAAUAUUAUGUGAAUAUAUGUGGUAUGUGACUAAGUGUUACUUGUGGUUUUGCUAGUUUAAUUAAUUAUGGUGAGUUACGAUUAUUAUAUGAUUAAUAUAUGAAUUUUGUGAAUUUUGUGUUAUCUAGUUUAUUGAGCUGAAUGCUCGUAUGUGUUCGUAUUCGCGAGAUUUCAAUUUCUAUAUGCUCAGGAGAAAAUAUAGUUUAUUUGGAUAUUUUCAUUUCGAUUUAUGGAAUGUUAGAUGAUUUUAUAAUCGAUUUACGGAUUUAAUUGCGUAUAUUUAUAUUUAAUUAUUGAUUAUUUGACUUCCGUAAAACCGUCCACUCGUAACGAGGUAGCAAAUUUUCUUCCCGGAAGUUUCAACAAAACUCACCUUUAGCCUAAUUUCAAUAUUCCGGACAUUUUUCGUGUUUUGACUUUUUCGAUCCGGAGUACGGUUUUCCCCGUAGUCGGUCCGGCGGAGUUUUUCGGGUAUUUUAAUUGUUGAUAAUUAUCCAGUUUGUCUCGAUAUACGUGAAACUAGAUAUUUUGAUUCAUCCUUAUCUUGUAAUAAUUGCAGUGGGACCCGCAUACUAAUGACUGAUUAAAAAGCCCCGUUCUGAUGAUUAUCUUGAAAACCAGUACCCAUUGGACCCUGCUUUAUUAAUAUAAAGCUACUAAAUACGUAUUUUCAUGUCAUAAACGAUCCAAAGGGGUACCAAUUAUUUGUAAAUAUAAAUAGACUUUUCUAUAGCUGAUUUUCACCCGUAAAAUCAUUUCACCAGUUUCUUUUCACGAAUACCGAGAGAAACCGAGCUGCGUUCUUCGUGUUCUUCGUAAUCAAACGAAGAUUUGAAGGUGUUAUUGGAAUCCGAUGGAGGCGUAUAAAUAGUCAAAACGAAGCUAUCGACGCGUAGAAUCAAGUUUAAUCACCCGUUUAUAUGCAGAUUCAACAGGAUUUGGACGUGACGAGUACGCUUGAAGACAUCAGAAAGUCAGAAUGGUAUUGCAAAGCGAAUAAGGGAUGAAUCGAGUAAGCGAAGCGAAGGUGUACGGUAGAUAGAGUAUAGCCAGAGAUGGUCUAGAAACUAUGAUAUGCAUAGAUUGUGAAAGUGGAAAGAUGAGAAUGAGCUGUGAGACGGGAGUCAGAUUUAAGAAAGGCUUAAAGAUGAGAUGAUUGAUUGAGAUUGUGAAUAAGGCUAAUGCUAGGCGAGGAGACAGAGUUGAGGAUCCAGUGGUCGAGGAGUGUUCAGGAAAGUUGAUGAGGUUGGUGCAAGCUAGAACUGUGCUAUGGAGAUUCAAGUGUAAGUCAUAGCUGGAAUAGUUGACAGUGAUUCUUCUUAUCGAAGAUGAUCUGAUUGGUAAGAGAUGUUGUGUAAUAGUUAGUGGUUGAUUCUAAUUUCAAUACUGUAACCUGGAUGCGAUCCUGUUGUUUUGGGGGUGAAGAGGUUCUCUUUUAAAUCUUUUAUUUAACGUCUUUCAAAUCUUUUAUUAAAUGUUUUCAGGUUUUAAAUUAUUUGGAUUCAUUAUCUUUUAAAAAAAAAAAAAAAAUUUACAGGUUUUCGAAAGUGUUUUAAAAAUGGGUUUUGUGUGGUGACGUCAGAAUCCAGACCCCCGGAUUCCUGGACCGUCACAGUUGGUAUCAGAGCAACAGGUUAUAAGUACUUGAAAUUAGAAUAUAGAUUUUAGUUUUAAGUUCUAUUGAUGAGGAAUAUUGUGUGACCUCAUAUAGAGGUAUUGUGAGACUAUUUAAAAAUAGUCUAGAGAUGCGAUAGAGGUAUAGAAUCUGGUUAGACGAUUAAGUUGAGUGUAUAGGUUUAGAGAGAUUUUGAUUCUUAAGUUUAGACAUAGGAUUUCUAGUAUGUUGACUAAUUGAGAUGAUGAAUUGUGCGAAAGGUCAAGAUUAGACCUAGAUAGAAGAGUUUGAUAGUGAAUGAUUGAGUUGAGAAUGGUGAAAAUGCAGAGUUCAGAGUAUUCUGACUAUACUGCAUAGUUGAAAAUGGUUUAUUGUAUUGAUUUGAGAAUGAUAAAGAUGCAUAGUUCGGAGUAUCCUGACUAUGUGUAUAUCUGGAAAUGGUUUAUCGAUUUGAUUGAAUUAUGAAAAGUGAAUGUAGAAUAUGAGUUGUGUUGGAUUAGAAGGAGAAUUUGGUAGAUAGAGGUUGAUAGAUGAGAAGUGCAUGAUAGAAAGUAUGUGGGGUUGAGUCCAGUUAUUAGAGGUGAUGUCUGCGAGUAAGUUAGAACGUUAGUCCUCGACAACGACGCUUUAAGUUAAGCGGGACAAGGUGGGCCCAUAACCCACAGGGCGACAAUUCAGAAAAUCGAAGAUAUGCUAUGUGUUGUGUUAUGGACUUCAAAGGCAACUGGAUGAAGCAUAAGAACGUGGACUACAUGGGCGAGAGUUAUUACGAACGAUAAUGUCGACGAUGAAUUUUACGAGGCUAUUACGAGUCAACAUUGAGUGAUUAUCAAGAACGUUAAAAAGAAGACAUAUGACGAACAACGAUUUAUUGAAGCAGAGCAAAAAUCUGAGAAGACCUUGGCAAUACCUCUCUUCAACUAAAGAUUCUUUUGAUUGUUUUCUCAUCAGUGAGAUAUUAUCAUGAUAUCUUUUCUACAAAAGUUUUGAUAAAUGAGAUAUUCAAUUUCUCAAAUUCUAAGAUGACAUUGAUAUUGACUAUUGGUGUGAGUUGGUAUUGAUUUGAUGGGUGAUAAAGGUUUGAUGUGAAAAAGACAGUGAUGUCCCUUGAUAUUGUUUGAUAUUCCAUGACAUUCCUUGAUAUACUUUCAUAUUUUUGAUAUCCCUUGAUACUUCUUGAUAUCCUUUAACAUUCCUUCACGAUAUUUGAUAUUCCUUGACAAUCUCUGAUAUUCUUUGAUAUUUCUUUAAUCUGAUUGGGAUGAACAACCCUAUUUAUAGGGGACACAAGGUAUACCUGUCUGUGUGAUAGGAGUUGGAUGGGACGCCAUCACUUGUGUGUGUUGUGAUUACAAGAAGGUUAACAACCUUUAGUAGUGUCUAAUAUGGACACGCAACAUUAAGUUCAAUUGAUCGUAUUGAUCUCCCAGUCACCCUUGUAUUCCAAUGUGACCUAUUUUGAAAACACCUAGUUCUAUUCGAAAAUUCCCAAAGAUUGAUUCUUGGAAAAUGAAUUCUGUAAUUAUGAAAGUGUUGAUAUUCCUAUUUCUUCAAAAUUGAAGGUAUGCCAAGGUUGAUCAAAGGAGGAUGAGCAUGUGAUAUUACGAAGCGUGUACGUUUUAGUUUUCUUCGGGGGAUUCCGGGGACGGAAUCCUUAUAAAGGGGGUAGAAUGUAAUAUCCCAUAUUAUUAAAUUUAGAUGUGAUUAUUAUAAAUCUAUUUGUCUAAAUAUUAUUGUUGGCUGUAGUUGAAAAGCGAAUUGAUUAUGUGAAUAGUUUUAUGUGAUUAUACUUGUUCUGUGGAUUGAUAUGGAUUUUACGGAUUUUGCGUUCUCCUUCUUUCUCUGAUUCCGAGGACGGAAUCCCUAUAAGGAGGGUAGAUUGUAAUAACCCGGAUUUUAAAAAUAUUUUUAUUAAUAUUAUAAAUGAUUUUCUUAAAAAGAGAGGAAUAAGAUUUAAUAUUUUAUUCCAGUUUAAUGAGUUUUCAAGGUUUUAUAUUUAAACCUCGGGUUAUUGUGUUAUUGAUAAAUAAUUGUAUUUUCAAAACUGAUUUUCAUAUAUUGUUUUGAAAAUUCUAGAUGAAUAUUAUGUGAAUAUAUGUGGUAUGUGACUAAGUGUUACUUGUGGUUUUGCUAGUUUAAUUAAUUAUGGUGAGUUACGAUUAUUAUAUGAUUAAUAUAUGAAUUUUGUGAAUUUUGUGUUAUCUAGUUUAUUGAGCUGAAUGCUCGUAUGUGUUCGUAUUCGCGAGAUUUCAAUUUCUAUAUGCUCAGGAGAAAAUAUAGUUUAUUUGGAUAUUUUCAUUUCGAUUUAUGGAAUGUUAGAUGAUUUUAUAAUCGAUUUACGGAUUUAAUUGCGUAUAUUUAUAUUUAAUUAUUGAUUAUUUGACUUCCGUAAAACCGUCCACUCGUAACGAGGUAGCAAAUUUUCUUCCCGGAAGUUUCAACAAAACUCACCUUUAGCCUAAUUUCAAUAUUCCGGACAUUUUUCGUGUUUUGACUUUUUCGAUCCGGAGUACGGUUUUCCCCGUAGUCGGUCCGGCGGAGUUUUUCGGGUAUUUUAAUUGUUGAUAAUUAUCCAGUUUGUCUCGAUAUACGUGAAACUAGAUAUUUUGAUUCAUCCUUAUCUUGUAAUAAUUGCAGUGGGACCCGCAUACUAAUGACUGAUUAAAAAGCCCCGUUCUGAUGAUUAUCUUGAAAACCAGUACCCAUUGGACCCUGCUUUAUUAAUAUAAAGCUACUAAAUACGUAUUUUCAUGUCAUAAACGAUCCAAAGGGGUACCAAUUAUUUGUAAAUAUAAAUAGACUUUUCUAUAGCUGAUUUUCACCCGUAAAAUCAUUUCACCAGUUUCUUUUCACGAAUACCGAGAGAAACCGAGCUGCGUUCUUCGUGUUCUUCGUAAUCAAACGAAGAUUUGAAGGUGUUAUUGGAAUCCGAUGGAGGCGUAUAAAUAGUCAAAACGAAGCUAUCGACGCGUAGAAUCAAGUUUAAUCACCCGUUUAUAUGCAGAUUCAACAGGAUUUGGACGUGACGAGUACGCUUGAAGACAUCAGAAAGUCAGAAUGGUAUUGCAAAGCGAAUAAGGGAUGAAUCGAGUAAGCGAAGCGAAGGUGUACGGUAGAUAGAGUAUAGCCAGAGAUGGUCUAGAAACUAUGAUAUGCAUAGAUUGUGAAAGUGGAAAGAUGAGAAUGAGCUGUGAGACGGGAGUCAGAUUUAAGAAAGGCUUAAAGAUGAGAUGAUUGAUUGAGAUUGUGAAUAAGGCUAAUGCUAGGCGAGGAGACAGAGUUGAGGAUCCAGUGGUCGAGGAGUGUUCAGGAAAGUUGAUGAGGUUGGUGCAAGCUAGAACUGUGCUAUGGAGAUUCAAGUGUAAGUCAUAGCUGGAAUAGUUGACAGUGAUUCUUCUUAUCGAAGAUGAUCUGAUUGGUAAGAGAUGUUGUGUAAUAGUUAGUGGUUGAUUCUAAUUUCAAUACUGUAACCUGGAUGCGAUCCUGUUGUUUUGGGGGUGAAGAGGUUCUCUUUUAAAUCUUUUAUUUAA